GGGGUAUGCUUAAAUGAACUGGGAGUAAAAAGCUGAAUAUCUGCUGUGGAGUGGGAUGUGAAGUAUUGUGUUAAAUAUCAAAUGGUAACGGCUCAGAAUGGGUGCAUAUACUUGUACUCAUUUGUUGUACCUGUCUAGAACAAAAAAAAUGAAGUGUAUGAAGCGAAUAGUUUUAGAUGCAGCCAAGUGAUAAAGCAUCAGAUAGAGACAUGGUUCUCACACUGAUGCAUUUAGUGUCUAAUCGUUUUUGUUUUUCACUCUGUGGUUCCUUUAUGCAGCUGGCCCUGUGUUCCCAAGGACCGCUCACUAAGUGUGUGUGAUCAAACCAAUCGAUGGUAUCAGCCCGUCUAUAAUUAUACUUCACUGUUUUCAAUGGGAUCAAACUUUUUCUGCUAACAACCAUACAAUAUAUGGCUCUCGUGGCUUUGAAUCUCAAUGUUAGGAACAGCUGCCAUUGAUCAAAUUUACUUAUUGACGUUAUAUCUGUUCAAAUGACAUCCAAAUGAUAUCCCAACAAUAAUUGAUCAUAUCACACAUGCUGCCAUUGGAAAAGCCUACAAAACACUGAGGUCUAUAGACCUAGGUAUUUCCAUCAAUACAUAAAGUUAAGACUCCAUAAGUUAGACUCCUAACUUUAAGGCGGCUUCAAAAAGACUAAGUGAAAAGUUAUUUUUUCACAGGUAACGUUGAGCGAUGGAAUUCCCAAUAACACGAAAGCAGCAAGCUCCUCCCCGGUAGCUGCAGCAGACAUCAAUCUCAUUAUCUGGAAGGGCCAAAAGCCGAGUGGAGGAAAGCACAUGGGGUUCACACACACACACACACACACACACACACACACACACACACACACACACACACACACACACACACACACACACACACACACACACACACACACACACACACACUGUUCUACCUUAACAUCUUGCAUGUUUCCCGAAACGUUCUUUGCUACGAAUCUCUUACGUGGUAGGCCUACGUCGUUCGUUGGUAAGAUUGGUCUGAAGUGCUCGUAUAACCUUCUUAGCACUACCAUAGUGAUGGUUCACAAAUGCAAAAAAGGGCUUUGUAUUAUGGAUACUCCAAGUUUUGCAGCAGAUCUUAUGUAUUUAUUUAUCUCGUUGCUUCAAGGAGGUCUGGUGGUCUCCGU
ensembl:lncRNA